CCCGGGAGGCGGAGCUUGCAGUGAGCCGAGAUCGCGCCACUGCACUCGAGCCUGGGUGACAGAGUGAGACCCCGUCUCAAAACAAACAAACAAAAAAAUUCCUCUGAAACUUAAAUAUCACCUCACCUGAUUCAAAAUACAAUCACAAAAUCAGCGGGACUGUUAACACACCUACUACCUUUUUAUGAAAUAAACAGUGGCACCCCUCCCCCAAC
rnacentral:lncRNA from 1 species